GGGCGUAAAGAGCUCGUAGGUCGUUUGCCGCGUCGAUUGUGAAAAUCUGAGGCUCAACCCCAGACCUGCAGUCGAUACGGGCAAACUAGAGUGUGGUAGGGGAGACUGGAAUUCCUGGUGUAGCGGUGGAAUGCGCAGAUAUCAGGAGGAACACCAAUGGCGAAGGCAGGUCUCUGGGCCAUAACUGACACUGAGGAGCGAAAGCGCGGGGAGCGAACAGGAUUAGAUACCCUGGUAGUCCGCGCCGUAAACGAUGGGCACUAGCUGUGAGAGCCUUCCACGGUUCUCGCGACGCAGCAAACGCAUUAAGUGCCCCGCCUGGGGAGUACGAUCGCAAGAUUAAAACUCAAAGGAAUUGACGGGGCCCCGCACAAGCAGCGGAGCAUGCGGCUUAAUUCGACGCAACGCGAAGAACCUUACCAAGGCUUGACAUAUAGCGAAAAGUGGCAGAGAUGUCAUGUCCGCAAGGGCGCUAUACAGGUGGUGCAUGGUUGUCGUCAGCUCGUGUCGUGAGAUGUUGGGUUAAGUCCCGCAACGAGCGCAACCCUCGUUCUGUGUUACCAGCAUUAAGUUGGGGACUCACAGGAGACUGCCGGGGUCAACUCGGAGGAAGGUAAU
rnacentral:rRNA from 1 species